rnacentral:rRNA from 1 species
AGAGUUUGAUCCUGGCUCAGGAUGAACGCUAGCUACAGGCUUAACACAUGCAAGUCGAGGGGAAACGAUAUUGGAAGCUUGCUUCCGAUAGGCGUCGACCGGCGCACGGGUGAGUAACGCGUAUCCAACCUGCCCACCACUUGGGGAUAACCUUGCGAAAGUAAGACUAAUACCCAAUGACGUCUCUAGAAGACACCUGAAAGAGAUUAAAGAUUUAUCGGUGAUGGAUGGGGAUGCGUCUGAUUAGCUUGUUGGCGGGGUAACGGCCACCAAGGGCGACGAUCAGUAGGGGUUCUGAGAGGGAAGGUCCCCCACAUUGGAACUGAGACACGGUCCAAACUCAUACGGGAGCA